AGAACCCGUGCAGAGCCUGAACCCGUGCAGAACCUGAACCUGUGCAAAACCCCCUGGGGUACAGAACCUGUACAGAACCUGAACCUGUGCAGAACCCAUACAGAUCCUGAACCUGUGCAGAACCCACAUAGAACCUGAACCUGUGUAGAACCCGUACAGAACCUGAACCCGUGCAGAACACUCUGGGCUGGAGAACAUGUACAGAACACUCCAGGGUACAGAACCUGUGCAGAACCCGUAAAGAACCUGAACCUGUUCAGAACCCCCUGGGGUAGAGAACCUGAACUUGUGCAGAACCUGUACAGAACCCAUACAGAACCUGAACCUGUGCAGAACCAGAACCUGUGCAGAACACCCUGAGGUACAGAAUCUCUACAUAACCUGAACCUGUGCAGAACACCCUGAGGUACAGAACCUGUGCAGAACACCCUGAGAUUACUGCAGCCCUGCUGAUCCAGCAGCUCUGCCAAGCCCUCUGGAGAGAGCACAGUGGGAGAGGCUGGCUCUGCCUUCGGGAUCCAGAUUACCUGCAGGCCACCAGAACCAACUCCAGCUGGUCAGCCACAAAGAACAACAGCAAACACCCAGAAAGAGACACUCCCUACAGCUGAAGAAUGGCAGCAGAGUGACAGGGAAGCCCUGCCCUCUUUGGCCACAUCAGAUCCCCAGAGUCAGUGACAGCAGCACCUGAUCAGAGCCUCCCAGCACAGAUUUGACCUGCAGAGAGCAGAUCUUUUCAGUGUCCAUCAGCAUUAAUGUUCCAAUUGACUCAUCUUCAAAGGCAAGACAUGAUCCAAGCCAAUUUGUACACAAACCUUCUCAUCAACUGUCUGCAUUUAUCCUCAGACUCUUAAUGCCAUGGUUCAGUAUUAAGACAUUUUGUUUAAUUCCAUCUCUAGCUACAGCUGUUCUAAGAUUCUGAUUUUUUCUCACAAGUAAUCCUGUUUUUCACCUAACAACCUAGAGCUCUAUCAAAAAAAAAAAAAGUGGACUAUCAGCUCAACUAACUGCUUAUUUUUUAAUACAGCAUUCCAAAACAUAAGUGAUGACUGUGGGGCUAUAAAUAUAUAUCUAUACCUAAGGAGUAAGUAAGGUCAUAUCACUUGAAUUUUUCUUAACUUAGCAAAAUACAGCAAAAAUACAUUAUUCAUAUAGUAGGUUGUCUUGUAUCUUGAUGCACCUUUUUUUUCAUUAGCAAUUAAUUCCACUCAAUGGCAGGACGACAAAUUUCAUAAACUGAUCACUUCAGUGAGGAUUUCUCAGUGAAUUAAUGGGGCUUAGCAGUCUUUAUGUAAUAAAACUUGGAAAAUUGAAUGUCAAACACAAAGGUGUACUUUUCCUGUGCCUUGUGUAAACUUCUAAAACUGUAUGCAAUCCCACUUAACAAUGCCUGGUUUCCCUCUCUCUGGUGCCCAUUUCAAGGCCUCCCAGGGAAGCACCAUGCAAUUCCCAAAUCCAAGUCCACAUACAGAGCCCCUUGAGGGUGGGUGGACUCUGUAAAUAGAUCUCUUCAAAGCAGCACUAAUCCCUUUCCAGCAAUAAAUUCCCCUUCUUUAGUCCCAAUUCCCACAGGGCUGUGUCUGCACCAUUUAAAUGCAGCCAAAUUUUGGUCUCCAGCAAGGGCAAGAUCUGCACCCAGCCCCUCACAUGGGGCAACUAAAGGGGGAAAAAAGGAAGAACAUGUACAGAAAGACAUAAGUGGGUGGGAUGCAUUUUCAUUUUGCUGCCAGUUUGUCAUAGACGGGUAGAAGAAUUAGAAAAGCCUUAUGAAAUCAGGCCUCACUCUGCUAAAAUUGCCAAAGCUGGCCUGGCUUUUCUUCUAAGUGCAGCUCACAAGCAAUUUGCAAGUUCCCAUGUGAAGCCAUUUUGAAAAUGAGAAGUUCCUUUAACACAACAAUCUAUUCUGAGGGUGAAAAACAAAUGCACCUGUGUAAACAAUAAGAUUUGUCCCAUAAGAACCCACAAAGGAAAAACGUAAACAUAUCUAGAGUGAGAGAAAAUUUGAUAGAAAACAGCUCUUACUGGCCAAUGAACUGAGUUUCACUGUACUGCUGACCAAUUAGGUUUAGCACAGUCCCUUCUGAUAUUUCCUACAAAUAUGAGCUCUAUGAAUAAAGAAUUGGCUUUUUUAUGAAGAAAAGGGAGUCUUGGCUGAUUUAUUCCAACACCUGGUGACCCUGUAGAUGUGAUAGACACGAGACGAACAGGCUGUUGUGAAAGAAGAAGGUGAAACGAGCCAAGCUGACCGCAGGACCGGGCAGCGAGAAGGGAUUUAGAGAUGGAAUAUACAAGGUGAUGAAAGGAAGAUUGCAGCCGGCCUCAAGCCAGCUGCAGGAUCAGCACAAACAGAAAUCCAAGCAGCAAAUUUACAAAUAGCAAAAGGCUAUGGCUACAGCAGGAUCAGCGCGGAACAAACAAAGACCAGAGCCGGCUGUGAAGCGGAACGUGGACGGGGAGCACACAGGGCCACAGACAGCGUGGAACACACAGAGAAAAACACAACGUGUGCUAGGAGAACAGAACUGCGGGUCACAGAACGCAAACACAGCCAAAGGAGAGUUGCAGAAGGUGAGGCAGCCUAAGAGUUGCCUAGGAGAGAAGGGCCCAGCAAGUCAUGGGGACAACAGUCUCAAGAACAGGGAACCAUGACAUGGAAAUGGCACACGGGAGCAGCAACCAUGUGGAAACCUGAGUGUCACGGAAAGAAAGCCAAACUGUGAGUUAAAAGAGGCAAUAUGUGUUGGGAAAAGAGAGAGAAAGUACACAGGUUCAAAGCAGUCCCUGUUCAUUCAAUCAGACACUGAUCACCUCUGAGAAAAUGAGUCCCUGUGGAAAGAGAAAUAACCUAAUCACCUUGCAGCCCUCAUGGCCAGAACAGGAACAGAAGUAGGACUGCCAAGACACAGCUGUGUCUGGAAACUUGCAGAAGCAAUUUGCCAACAAAAGGCUCAUGUCAUCAUCAUGGGACAGU